GAUGAACGCUGGCGGCGUGCCUAAUACAUGCAAGUCGAGCGAACGGACGCGCAGCUUGCUUUUCUGAUGUUAGCGGCGUACGGGUGAGUAACACGUGGAUAACCUACCUAUAAGACUGGGAUAACUUCUUGAAACCGGUGCUAAUACCGGCUACUAUUUUGAUCCUCAUGGUUCAAAAGUGUUAGACGGUCUUGCUGUCACUUAUAGCUUGAUCCGCGCUGCAUUAGCUAGUUGGUAAGGUAACGGGCUACCAAGGCGACGAGUCAUAGCCGAACUGAGAGGGGGAUCGGCGACACGAGAGCGGGAACAGGGUCCAGACGACUGAGGGAGGCAGCAGUAGGGAAUCGUAGGCAAUGGGCGAAAGCAUGACGGAGCGACGCCGAGUGAGAGAUAAAGGUCUUCGGAUCGUAAAAAUCUGUUAUUGGGGAAGAACAUAUGUGUAAGUAACUGUACACAAAGUGACGGUACCUAAACAGAAAGCCACGGCUAACUACGUG
rnacentral:rRNA from 1 species